rnacentral:rRNA from 1 species
AGCUGGAUGAUAGCCGGGCUGAAGACUCUGCUGACUAGCUGAGAGGAGGUGCAUGGCCGCUCGCUCAGUUCGUACUGUGAAGCAUCCUGUUAAGUCAGGCAACGAGCGAGACCCACGCCAACAGUUGCCAGCAUGUCCUCCGGGAUGAUGGGGACACUGUUGGGACCGCCUCUGCUAAAGAGGAGGAAGGAAUGGGCAACGGUAGGUCAGCAUGCCCCGAAUUAUCCGGGCUACACGCGGGCUACAAUGGUCAGGACAAUGGGUAUCGACACCGAGAGGUGGAGGCAAUCUCCUAAACCUGUCCUUAGUUCGGAUUGUGGGCUGCAACUCGCCCACAUGAAGCUGGAAUCCGUAGUAAUCCCGUUUCAAA